GUAAAACCGAUGACUGAGAGUAGUAACAUAAGGAUUUUGCCAACAGAGAGCCGCAGGCGGUGGAAUUGCGGCGGCAAAACUUAUGUGAAUGGGCUCAGGAGGGCGCAGCCGAAAUGGAGACAGAGUAGGCAAGCCGGGAUCUUCACCCGUUAUCAAGGAAGCAUGUAUGUUGGUACAUGGAAAAUGAGGGGCGCUUUAUGCGCAAAUUAGGUGGCACCGCAGAGAUUAUAAGUCUUUGUCCUAAUG
rnacentral:ncRNA from 1 species